ensembl:miRNA
ACAUGGAAGUACUGUCAUCUCGUGCCAUCCCUCGGCAAUAUUCCCGCGAUGCCGCCACUUCCACAGUCA